UCUUUAGUUGUUUCCAGUAUCAGAAGGGUAAUGGCCGAUUCAAAGUAUUUCAGCUCACAAAUAAGAUACAGAGUUUCUUAAGUAUUGAAUCACUCAGGCAGAAUACAAACUUCCUCUCUGCACCGCACAAUAUGCAUGACACAGAGUUCUUUCUGAAAGAUAUAAUUUUUCCUGGGAUGCAUCCUAGGCUUCCCAGUGUUUCAGAACUCUGCCACAUCACAGACUACAGAAAAUGGAACACGCAUGCAAGGUUCUUUCUAUUAAUCUGCAUGAGGGACAAAAAAGCAGCCUUUCCCGCCAUCAUCUGCUGUCACAAUACUGAUUGGCUUGCCUUGCAAAAUUGCCUGGAGAGAGACAAAAGUUUGUACCAAGUACAAGAGAAUGAAAAAACUGAAGACCAAGUAAUAGUCAAUGGAAAAUCAUUUUUGAGGUGGUUUUCAAGACAUUUUGGUGAGGACCAUGUGCAGAAAAAGAAAAGAAGGAAAAGAAGAAAGGAUGAGGAAGAAGGAAAAGAAAUGGAGCAGGUAAAUUUCCAAUAAUAUUGACAUGAGUUAUUUUUCUUGUGAAGUGUUCUCCAACUUUCACAGGUAUACUAAAUGACACAAGGACUGUUUUUAUGUAGAGACUUAAACCUUCACUCACAUUUUGGAAACAUUGAGUAUCUUGAAGAAUUAAAGUCAUUGAACAUUUGAACUAUAAACCUUUUGAAAAUUCUGAAAUACAUGAUGGUCAUAUACUCUACUAUGUAUAAAAAUGUAACAAAUUGUCAAAAGCCCAGAGAGUGAAGCCUCAAAUAUCUCACUGUGCUUAUGCUUUCUGUAGAAUAAAACAAAAGUGCAAUGCA
ensembl:lncRNA